rnacentral:lncRNA from 1 species
UAAACUUGAGUGUAAUUAAGAUAGGAGGAUGGUAUAUCAUGUUUGACUUGUGUGGAGUAGUCCUUAACAAGUUGGCUUGAGACCCAUCUACUCAGUGGAGAUCCUUUUGGAGUUAUAAAUAUCACACAAGUCAUUUGUGGUUAGGCAUUACUAUCUCUGAUCUGGGGUCCAAGAAGCUGAGGACCGUAUAACAUUUAACCCCUCUUGGCCUAUUUAGGACGUAGUGCGGAG